UAGUUGGAUCCAUUAGAACGCCGCCCAGUGGUGGAAUUCGGUUAUUAGAUACCCUGUAGUCUGGCAGUAACGGUGCACGCUGGUGUGGGGAAAUCGACCCCCUGGCGUGCGGAGCUAACGCGUUAAGCGUGCCGCCUGNGGAGUACGGUCGCAAGAUUAAAACUCAAAGAAAUUGACGGGGACCCGCACAAGCGGUGGAGUAUGUGGCUUAAUUCGAUGCAACGCGAAGAACCUUACCUGGGCUUGACAUGUAAUGAACAACAUGUGAAAGCAUGCGACUCUUCGGAGGCGUUACACAGGUGCUGCAUGGCCGUCGUCAGCUCGUGUCGUGAGAUGUUUGGUUAAGUCCAGCAACGAGCGCAACCCCUGUUGCCAGUUACCAGCACGUGAAGGUGGGGACUCUGGCGAGACUGCCCAGAUCAACUGGGAGGAAGGUGGGGACGACGUCAGGUCAGUAUGGCCCUUAUGCCCAGGGCUGCACACGUACUACAAUGCCCAGUACAGAGGGGGCCGAAGCCGCGAGGCGGAGGAAAUCCUAAAAACUGGGCCCAGUUCGGACUGUAGGCUGCAACCCGCCUACACGAAGCCGGAAUCGCUAGUAAUGGCGCAUCAGCUACGGCGUCGUGAAUACGUUCCCGGGUCUUGUACACACCGCCCGUCACAUCAUGGAAGCCGGUCGCACCCGAAGUAUCUGAAGCCAACCGCAAGGAGGCAGGGUCCUAAGGUGAGACUGGUAACUGGGAUGAAGUCGUAACAAGG
rnacentral:rRNA from 1 species